AUGAAAUACCUGGGGUUGCCGCUCACCCUCACCAGAACCAGGAUCAUGCACCUCCAGUUCGUCCCUGAUCGGAUUAGGGCAAGGUUGGUAGGGUGGAAAGGAAAGCUAAUGUCUAUCGCUGGCAGGCGGGUGCUAGUCCGAGCUGUUCUAAGCGCAAUUCCUACCUUUGCUCUCACCGUGCUUCGUAUGCCGAAAAAAUUUCUCAAGGAGAUUGACAAGGUGCGGCGGCGUUUCCUCUGGGCGCCGGAGGAGGAGCUGUCCGGUGGCAAAUGUAAGGUGAACUGGUCCAAGGUUUGCUCUCCGCUGGACAAGGGCGGGCUUGGGGUCCUCGAUCUCGAGCGUUUCGGCAGAGCUCUCCGGCAAAGGUGGCUCUGGCUCACAUGGAAGCACCCGGAGAGGCCAUGGGCGGGCAUGGAAGUGCCGUGCUCGGAAACAGACAAGGCGUUCUUCAGCGCGGCUACGUCAGUCACCGUUGGAAAUGGCCAGACAGCUCGUUUCUGGACCUGCUCCUGGCUGCCAACGGGCACGCUCAGGGUGCUGUUUCCCGCUCUAUAUCAGCACUCGAAGUGGAAGAAUAGGAGUAUGGCCGAUGCCCUGCAUGAGGAUCGCUGGAUCCGAGACCUGGCGCAUGGACAGACAGACCUGGUGGUGCAAGACUGCGUGUGUUUGGCACGGCUGCUGCGAACUGCUUCGAUCUCCCUCAACCUGGACUCCGCAGAUGAAAUUAGUUGGAGUCUCGAGGCCAAUGGCUGCUACUCGGCAUCGUCAGCAUAUCGAGCACAAUUCCAGACCAACCACGGCUCGGUUUUCCCACAGCUCAUUUGGAAAACAUGGGCGCCCGGGAAGCUGAAGGUUUUCUGCUGGCUGCGGAUGCUGGAUAGGUUGUGGUGCAACGACCGACUGCAGCGACGAGGAUGGCCAAACUCAUAUUUCUGCCAAUUCUGUAUGCAGAACCUUGAGACUGCUGAGCACGUUUUCUGGACAUGCCCGUUCACUGCAUCACUCUGGAACAGCUUGUCGACAUGGCAAGGCUGUGAGGCCCUGAGGACGCAGCCUGAAGACAACGACACAACGACAGCUGAUCGGGUGUCGCGGAUUGUGGGGAGCACAAAGCCAGAGUUCAGAAAGGGCAUCAAAUCACUGGCGAUGUUGACGCUCUGGGAGAUCUGGUUGCACCGCAACAGUUGCACUUUUAGAGAAAAGGAGCCCUCCGCGACGGCGGUCAUGCAGGCGAUCAGGAGAGGUAUUGACCUCUGGCGCCAAGCUGGUGCAUCCUGCCUAAUGCACCCGUUCACUCUGCCUCCAGAAGGGAUAGGCUGA
rnacentral:rRNA from 1 species